AUUUAUAUAAUUUCACAUAUAUGAAGCUAUGCAUAUGAUGGUGUUCAUCACCACAUUUAUAAUAACCAAAGAUUCAAACUGGAAACAACCCAAAUGCUUACUCACAGGAAGUUACUGAGUAAUGGUAUACAGGUAAUGGAAUACAGUGUAUUAGCUAAAAAGUGUAAGGUUGCCUGGGUGUAGUGGUUCACGCCUGUAAUCCCAGCACUUUGGGAGGCUGAGGAAGGCAGAUCAGGCUGAGGUCAGGAGUUUGAGACCAGCCUGGCCAACAUGGUGAAACCCCAUCUUCACUAAAAAUACAAAAAUUAAUUGGGUGUGGUGGCACAUGCCUGUAGUCCUAGCUACUCAGGAGGCUGAGGUAGGAGGCUGGCAUUAUGAUUAUCUAAGAAUCUAAUGUUCUACAUGAAGCAAAAAUAAAAUACAGUAAAAAUUACCCCUAAAAUACUUUAAAAUAUCCACAAAAAAAUCCACAUGUUGUUUAAUAACUAGAAUAUACCCCUGAAUUUGAGACUCACUGGGUUAGACUCAACUGGGCAAAUUCUGAUCCCCCUGGAAAUUUAAAUCACAUUGAGUACCCAAACAAAUUUGAAAUAAUCUCCACAAGUGUUUGCAGUUACUGUGAUUUCUUUGCCUGGUGAGGAUAUGUCCAAGUCCAGGGGUCAGAUUUUGCUAGGUCAAUCCCAAACCACAGAGACUGUGGAUAUCAAGGGUACAGUAACAUUACUGCAUGGAAUAACCACACAGUUAACUAAAUUGCAAGGCAAGAAGUAGGCACUUGGAAAUACUAGAAUCUCUAGAAGGGGGCUAUUCUAUAAGCCCCAGAGAGAAGUCAAGUGUUCCAGUUUCUACUCCGUAAAUAGAGGAAUCAAGAAAUACCCUUGACAAUCAUCACAAAUAACAGGAUCUGAAAAGCUAAAUCACCAAAGUAUAAAGUCUUAAAACAUCCAAGGCACCUAAAAAAGGUCCUAGUGUCAGUUAUAAAAUUGAAUUAAUUUACUUCCCAUACUAACAUUUUUUUCUCAAACUAUUAGUUUGUUUGCUUCCUUUCUCUGUUAACUUGAUCUGGAAGAAGGAUUUCUGAAACAUCACAGUGUUAGUGGCUCCAAAAACUUGCUCAGAGGAGCUGUGGGAAUUCCAUCUC
rnacentral:lncRNA from 1 species